UAUCUCGUCCUCGUCUUUCUCUAAAAAGUGAUUCGAUCGAUUAGAUUGAUAUAUUGAAAUAUUUCAUUGAAAGACAGAAUCCAGAGAAUGGCUUACUAUAUUAUACGGUGGAUUCAUUACAUCCCGCCUGAAGGAGAUACCCGACUUCUUUGGCUUUCGUUUAGCAGCAUCUCAUGGCUUCAUCAAUCAAUCGGAAGAGGAAGGGGACUGGGCUCGACACCAAAAGCACGUUUGCCAGUUUCGUAUAUACCUUCGCUCUCUGAAGGAAUUGUUUAGCCCAGCUCCCAUAUGUCAACCAUCAAAGGUUACGAUUGUACCACAACUUAACUUUCUCUUAACUUAUACGAAUUAUUAAAUUAUAAUGUUCGUUAAGUUAAUUUCUUAUUCCUUUUGGCUUUUUGGCAAGUAAUUGCCAUACCUCAGGAUUCAUUCUUAU
rnacentral:lncRNA from 1 species